GAUCGGCUAGCGUAGUGGUGUUGUGACUGGGGGGCAACCAGUAGGUUGUGGGUUCGAAUCCCACAUCCCCCC
rnacentral:tRNA from 1 species